CCUACGGGAGGCAGCAGUAGGGAAUCUUCGGCAAUGGACGAAAGUCUGACCGAGCAACGCCGCGUGAGCGAAGAAGGCCUUCGGGUCGUAAAGCUCUGUUGUUAGAGAAGAACAUGGGUGAGAGUAACUGUUCACCCCUUGACGGUAUCUAACCAGAAAGCCACGGCUAACUACGUGCCAGCAGCCGCGGUAAUACGUAGGUGGCAAGCGUUGUCCGGGAUUAUUGGGCGUAAAGCGCGCGCAGGCGGUCUCUUAAGUCUGAUGUGAAAGCCCCCGGCUCAACCGGGGAGGGUCAUUGGAAACUGGGAGACUUGAGGACAGAAGAGGAGAGUGGAAUUCCAAGUGUAGCGGUGAAAUGCGUAGAUAUUUGGAGGAACACCAGUGGCGAAGGCGGCUCUCUGGUCUGUUACUGACGCUGAGGCGCGAAAGCGUGGGGAGCAAACAGGAUUAGAUACCCGGGUAGUC
rnacentral:rRNA from 1 species